rnacentral:rRNA from 1 species
UACGUAGGGGGCUAGCGUUGUCCGGAUUUAUUGGGCGUAAAGAGCGUGUAGGCGGCCAGGUAGGUCUGGUGUGAAAACUCGAGGCUCAACCUCGAGCUGUCGGUGGAAACCGUGUGGCUAGAGUCCGGAAGAGGAGUGUGGAAUUCCUGGUGUAGCGGUGAAAUGCGCAGAUAUCAGGAAGAACACCUAUGGCGAAGGCAGCACUCUGGGACGGUACUGACGCUGAGACGCGAAAGCGUGGGGAGCGAACAGG